AUACUUAGUGGCAGACGGGUGAGUAACAUGUAGGUAUCUUCCCUAUGGUGAGGAAUAACACGAGGAAACUUGUGCUAAUACCUCAUAAGUCUUUACGGAGAAAGCUUUAUGCGCCAUUGGAUGAGCCUGCACUUGAUUAGUUUGUUGGUGGGGUAAUGGCCUACCAAGACAAUGAUCAAUAGCUGAUUUGAGAGGAUGAUCAGCCACAUUGGGACUGAGACACGGCCCAAACUCCUACGGGAGGCAGCAGUAGGGAAUCUUGCACAAUGGGGGAAACCCUGAUGCAGCGAUGCCGCGUGAGUGAAGAAGGCCUUUGGGUUGUAAAGCUCUUUCGUCGGGGAAGAAAAUGACUGUACCCGAAUAAGAAGGUCCGGCUAACUUCGUGCCAGCAGCCGCGGUAAUACGAAGGGACCUAGCGUAGUUCGGAAUUACUGGGCUUAAAGAGUUCGUAGGUGGUUGAAAAAGUUGGUGGUGAAAUCCCAGAGCUUAACUCUGGAACUGCCAUCAAAACUUUUCAGCUAGAGUUUGAUAGAGGAAAGCAGAAUUUCUAGUGUAGAGGUGAAAUUCGUAGAUAUUAGAAAGAAUACCAAUUGCGAAGGCAGCUUUCUGGAUCAUUACUGACACUGAGGAACGAAAGCAUGGGUAGCGAAGAGGAUUAGAUACCCUCGUAGUCCAUGCCGUAAACGAUGUGUGUUAGACGUUGGAAAUUUAUUUUCAGUGUCG
rnacentral:rRNA from 1 species